UUUUUUUUUUAAAUGCAUGUUUGUUUUUGUUUAACAGAGAAGUUAAGACAAAGUUACAAGUGUUUUUCUUGUCCAGGUUGUUGGCCAAAGUUAACAGCAUUAAAAGUCUCUUAGUUAUUAGGGCCUACAUAACUCCACAGAGUUCUAUAGCCUAACUAUCUCAGGUUGGAAAGAGUUUAUUCAAAUCCUUUUCCCCUACCAUAGGGUGUCCCUGUGCUUUGGAAAAUCCUGCCAAGGAAUAAUCAUGGAGAAAUAACUGAAUGUUCAGAUUCUUUUACUAGUGUCUUCCAUUCAUUAACCCUGAAUAUAGAUUCAGACCAUACAAGAAAAAACCCAAUCCUCUACUUAGUGGGUUUCUUCAAAUAUUGAAGUGUUUUUUCUACCUUCCCUAAAACACCCCCUCCAAAGUAGUAAAUAUACCCACUUAUUCUGAUCUUGUUUUUUUUUUUUUUUUUGGUAUUUUUAAACAAUUUGACAUCUUGUAUACUGCAUAUUUUCCACACAUUGCUCGUUUCUGUAUCAUGAAUUCUAAAUAUCACCUGGGUAUUUUAUCCUAUUUUUUGUCACUUCUUGAUUCAUUCACUUCCAUGUGUUUAGAGCAGCCUUUUCCUCUACAACUGAGCUAUAUCCCCAACCCUGUUCAUAAAAUUAAUUUUGAAUAUGGUGCUAUCUGGUGUACAUCAGAUUUCUCCACAAACUAUUGAGAUUUUCCCCUUUACCAAAUGAUUUUGUUUCCAUCACUUCCUGCUUUUAUUAUUUGAAAUUCUACUGAGAGGAAGAGUUUUUGUUCCCCAUUAUGAUUGAUACUAGAUCCACAUUUUUAUAUUAUUUGGUAUAUUCAUUUACUAUCAUUAUUUAUUGCUCAAAUUCUCACUUAUUUGGCCACAUGAGCCCCUUUCUGUUCUUUUCACAUGUCCCUGUCCUUUUAAAUUCUGGAAGCACAAAAUGUAGGAGGCUCAUCUCGUGUCUACUGUAGCCUUGAAAUCUGAUUUCUUUCUUCAAGCAUCUGCUUUGAAAAUACAUUAAAAAAAAAAAAAGUGGCACUGUGUGUACUCAUUGAUACAAGGUUGUUGGUUUUAACCUGUUUUGCAGAGCUAGGAAAUAUACAUCUAUAUCUAUUUCUAUGUAUAUUUUUUAAUACCAGUUCACACCACAGAGUUCACUUUAGUCCUCCUUAUUUGUACUUCUUUUGUUCAAAACUAGGGAGACAUCUGGCUUUACACAUAAUAUGUUUGCUUAUUUGCCUAAUUCUAGAACAUACAUAAAGUAGUUUCAGAAUUGCCAUUUUUUUUUUUUUUUUUUUGCCUUAAGAGAAACAAACUACUAACUAGUGUGUGGUAUUUAUAAUUUAUUUUGGUCUUACAGCACAUAACCAAAAUACUGUUUUACAAAGUUACAUAGUUCUUUUCUCUGCUUCCCGUUUCAGCAUAGUUGUAUUACUUGUUUGUAAUCAGUUAAUUUGGUUUUGAUAAGUCUACAGUUGAGUAGCUCAAUGGUAGAGGGUAAGCCUACAUGCACAAGGUUCUGGGUUCAAUCCCCAGCACCAGAAAAAAAAAAAAAAAAAGAAAAGAAAACACACACAUAAGGGGUACCUGCCCAACCUUGUUAACUUUUUACAUAUGUGAAACAUUAGCAUAGGUAAAGAAUUACAGAAAAAGCUUCAGUUGUCCAUAUACUUUCUGUUCUACUUCUCCUGUUCUUUCCUGUUUGCACCUACCCCCAGAGGUAACCUAUGUCCAGUUUCUGAUUUAUCCUUCCUUUGUUUCUUUUUCCAUGCAUUUAUUGAGGCCAGUCUGGGCAAUUUAGCAGACAAGGCCCUGUCUCAAAAAAUAAAAAGGAACUGAUUAGAACUAAUACAUAAUUUUUUUUAAAAAAUCCUACAUAAAUCCUUGUAUGUGAAUAUGUUAAACUUGUCUUCAAAAAAGAAAAAAAAAAAAAAAAGGACUGAAGGUGUAGUGGUAGGUGGUACUCCUGAGUUAAUCCCCAGUACAAAAAAAACUAUCCUUCCCAGCCCCACCCCCCAAACAGCUACAUACCACUAAAUUCUGUGAAUAUUCCAUAUUUUUUUAUUUUUUCCUGUCUACCAAUUGAGCUAUGGAAUUCCCAGCCUCCAUAGUUUCUUUUUUCUGCUAUUCUAUAUGUGAACAUUUAGGUCAUUUCCAAUAUUUUCCCAUUACAAUGCUGUAAUUGAAUUGCCAUGUGUAUAUGAAUUUUCAUUAAACUGGUAUGUAUAUUCAGGUAAAUUUUUAGAAUUAGGAUUGCUGGGUCAAGAUAUAAGUACUUUUGGUAGAUAUUGCCAAAACAAAUAAAUGCAGUUUGUUUUCCCAUCAGGAAUAUGUAAAUGCCUGUUUUUCCAUAGUCUUACCAGUAGAAUGUGUUUGCCAUGUUUUAUGUUUGUCAACCUGAUAGGUGAAAAAAGGCACUUCAUUGUAGUUUUAAUUUGUAUCUCUCUACCUAUGAAGGAGAUUGAAUAUCUUCAUCUGAUUAAGGGCUACUUUAAUCUCAUUUCCUAUUGUUUAUGGUCCUUUCUUAAUGUUAAGAAUUCUUUACAUAUUAUCUAUCUGUGAAUAUAUUUUCUCCAAAUUAUUUAUCUUUGGCUCUGAUUAUGGUGUGUUUUGCAAUAGAAAAGUCAUUUUUCCUGUGGUUAACUGUGUUAAUCUUUUAUUGUCUUUUGAUUUUAAUAAUUAGAAUUUACAUAUGCUGAGUUUAAAGAUGAACUCACCCAUGUUUUCCUAGUGCUUAUAUUGUUUCAUAUCCAAAAUUUACAGGGAAUCCCUGAUCCAUUUUGAGAUAGUGAAUAGAUUCACUAUCUCAAAACACUAUCUCAAAAUUAGAACACUACCUCAAACUAUAUAAAUAUAUAUACCCAUAUAU
rnacentral:lncRNA from 1 species